GGCCUAAAGCGUCCGUAGCCGGGCCCGUAAGUCCCUGGCGAAAUCCCACGGCUCAACCGUGGGGCUUGCUGGGGAUACUGCGGGCCUUGGGACCGGGAGAGGCCGGGGGUACCCCUGGGGUAGGGGUGAAAUCCUAUAAUCCCAGGGGGACCGCCAGUGGCGAAGGCGCCCGGCUGGAACGGGUCCGACGGUGAGGGACGAAGGCCAGGGGAGCGAACCGGAUUAGAUACCCGGGUAGUCCUGGCUGUAAAGGAUGCGGGCUAGGUGUCGGGCGAGCUUCGAGCUCGCCCGGUGCCGGAGGGAAGCCGUUAAGCCCGCCGCCUGGGGAGUACGGCCGCAAGGCUGAAACUUAAAGGAAUUGGCGGGGGAGCACUACAAGGGGUGGAGCGUGCGGUUUAAUUGGAUUCAACGCCGGGAACCUCACCGGGGGCGACGGCAGGAUGAAGGCCAGGCUGAAGGUCUUGCCGGACACGCCGAGAGGAGGUGCAUGGCCGCCGUCAGCUCGUACCGUGAGGCGUCCACUUAAGUGUGGUAACGAGCGAGACCCGCGCCCCCAGUUGCCAGUCCUCCCCGCUGGGGAGGAGGCACUCUGGGGGGACCGCCGGCGAUAAGCCGGAGGAAGGAGCGGGCGACGGUAGGUCAGUAUGCCCCGAAACCCCCGGGCUACACGCGCGCUACAAUGGGCGGGACAAUGGGAUCCGACCCCGAAAGGGGAAGGGAAUCCCCUAAACCCGCCCUCAGUUCGGAUCGCGGGCUGCAACUCGCCCGCGUGAAGCUGGAAUCCCUAG
rnacentral:rRNA from 1 species